GACGAACGCUGGCGGCGUGCUUAACACAUGCAAGUCGAACGGGAAGGCCCUGCUUUUGUGGGGUGCUCGAGUGGCGAACGGGUGAGUAACACGUGAGUAACCUGCCCUUGACUUUGGGAUAACUUCAGGAAACUGGGGCUAAUACCGGAUAGGAGCUCCUGCUGCAUGGUGGGGGUUGGAAAGUUUCGGCGGUUGGGGAUGGACUCGCGGCUUAUCAGCUUGUUGGUGGGGUAGUGGCUUACCAAGGCUUUGACGGGUAGCCGGCCUGAGAGGGUGACCGGCCACAUUGGGACUGAGAUACGGCCCAGACUCCUACGGGAGGCAGCAGUGGGGAAUAUUGCACAAUGGGCGGAAGCCUGAUGCAGCAACGCCGCGUGCGGGAUGACGGCCUUCGGGUUGUAAACCGCUUUCGCCUGUGACGAAGCGUGAGUGACGGUAAUGGGCAAAGAAGCACCGGCUAACUACGUG
rnacentral:rRNA from 1 species